AUUUUCAUUACCUAGGGAUCUCGUUAAAAACCAGAUUCUGAUGCAGGGACCAAGAUUCUGUAUUUUUAGCAAGUUGUCAAGUGAUGCUAAU
rnacentral:pre_miRNA from 13 species